UACAGAGGGUGCUAACGUUGUUCGGAAUCACUGGGCAUAAAGCGCACGUAGGCGGCUUGGUAAGUGCGGUGUGAAAGCCCCCGGCCUAACCGGGGAACUGCAUCGCAGACUGCCAGGCUCGAGAGCGGGAGGGGAGACUGGAACUCCUGGUGGAGCGGUGAAAUGCGUAGAUAUCAGGAGGAACACCGGUGGUGAAAACGAGUCUCUGGUCCGCUUCUGACGCUGAGGAGCGAAAGCGUGGGGAGCAAACGGG
rnacentral:rRNA from 1 species